ACGGGGCGCAGCAGGCGCGAAAACUUUACAAUGCUGGAAACAGCGAUAAGGGAACCUCGAGUGCCGAGAUACAAUCUCGGCUGUCUAGCUGCCUAAAAAGCAGUUGAUAGCAAGGGCCGGGCAAGACCGGUGCCAGCCGCCGCGGUAACACCGGCGGCUCGAGUGGUAACCGCUAUUAUUGGGUCUAAAGGGUCUGUAGCCGGCCUGGUUAGUCCCUUGGGAAAUCUGGCUGCUCAACAGUCAGGCUUCCAGGGGAUACUGCUAGGCUCGAGACCGGGAGAGGUGAGAGGUACUUCAGGGGUAGGGGUGAAAUCUUGUAAUCCUUGAAGGACCACCAGUGGCGAAGGCGUCUCACCAGAACGGAUCUGACGGCAAGGGACGAAAGCUAGGGGCACGAACCGGAUUAGAUACCCGGGUAGUCCUAGCCGUAAACGAUACUCGCUAGGUGUCGGCCACGGUGCGACCGUGUCGGUGCCGUAGGGAAGCCGUGAGGCGAGCCACCUGGGAAGUACGGCCGCAAGGCUGAAACUUAAAGGAAUUGGCGGGGGAGCAC
rnacentral:rRNA from 1 species